rnacentral:rRNA from 2 species
UACAGAGGUCCCAAGCGUUGUUCGGAUUCACUGGGCGUAAAGGGUGCGUAGGUGGUGAGGUAAGUCGGAUGUGAAAGCUCGGAGCUCAACUCCGAAAUGGCAUUGGAAACUACCUUGCUCGAGGGUUGGAGGGGGGACUGGAAUACUUGGUGUAGCAGUGAAAUGCGUAGAUAUCAAGUGGAACACCAGUGGCGAAGGCGAGUCCCUGGACAACUCCUGACACUGAGGCACGAAAGCUAGGGGAGCAAACAGG